rnacentral:miRNA from 1 species
UGGCGAGAUUGAAUAAGAGUUACCUUGACGGUUACAAUUGAAAUUGUAGCGGUUAAGGUAACCUUUGUUCAGUCUGGCCAAA